GGGUCAAUUCCAUAGGAGGCAAUAUACUGACUUUACAAAAUGAAUUCAUUCAUAAAUAUCGGCGUGUUUGUAACACUCAUUUUGCAGAAAAGUAUUAUUGCCGCAACAAUCGAAUCAGCAAACUAGCAAUAACAACUUUAUUGUUGCCUGACUCUUCACUGAUUGAAAAUAGGCUACUGAGGCAGUUGCAAAAUGUGGUUGGAUCUUUGCCAUCAACCUCACAAGGAGGCACAGAUUUCAUUACAACAUUUACAGAAGAAAUAAUCCCAGUGCAGCAGUCUCGAAAUUUACCUAAAUCUUUACCAUCAGGCUUACAAGGUAAAAUAUAAUUAUAGUCAAAUUCCAUGUAUGACAUCACACUUUAUGCAAAGAUAGCUAUUUGUAUACAUUUGUGGAACAGGGCAAGUGGUUUUGGAAUCCAGCUCGAAAGACCGACUCGAAAGUCUUCUUCUUUCCUCAUCUUUCUUUCAUGGGCCUCGCAAGGGGC